UACGUAGGGUGCAAGCGUUGUCCGGAAUUAUUGGGCGUAAAGAGCUUGUAGGCGGUUUGUCGCGUCUGCUGUGAAAUUUCGGGGCUCAACCCCGAACUUGCAGUGGGUACGGGCAGACUAGAGUGUGGUAGGGGAGACUGGAAUUCCUGGUGUAGCGGUGAAAUGCGCAGAUAUCAGGAAGAACACCCGUGGCGAAGGCGGCUCUCUAGUACGGUACUGACGCUGAGACGCGAAAGCGUGGGGAGCGAACAGG
rnacentral:rRNA from 1 species